CUAGUAUGCCUUGAAGUUAAAACGAAAUCUCGCAGAAAUUGUAUGUGGUUUUUCUCGGGCGUAGCACGAAGAAAGAAGCAAGAAAAACUUACGUGGCAGCCAGUUCUUGGAUUAAAACGAAGAUUUGAAGGCUAUAGAUUCCACAAAAAACAUUUCUUUCGCCAAAUCUGAUACAUAGGCAACAAUUAUUGAAUCCUUUCUGCCAGCAAGCAAGGAGCAGUGUACCAACCGAACCAAAUAUGAGUUUAUACUAAAAGUGAGGAAUUUAUCAGAGUACCAGCGCAUACAUCCUUUGGUCCUGUUCAACAUACCACCGAUUGUUCUCAGAUAUCGAGUAAAAUUGUGAAAAUUUUGGAUAGAGUUAGGAGUUUUCUUCCUAUUUUAGUUUUUAGACGUCAAAUUGCACUGGAUAAGCCCACCUGAUAUAUCAACUCACUUUGAGCCGAGCGGUUAAAAAGCACGCACCUUAAAGAUGAAUGCAAAUAAAAUGCGGCACAGCUUGUUCAACUAUCAAAGGAAUAAAUAUGCAUCGAAAGGCGAACCGUGUGCAGAACACUUCACCACAAAACAAAAAACAA